rnacentral:rRNA from 1 species
AUACGAAGGGGGCUAGCGUUGUUCGGAAUUACUGGGCGUAAAGCGCGCGUAGGCGGACUGAUCAGUUGGGGGUGAAAUCCCAGGGCUCAACCCUGGAACUGCCUCCAAUACUGUCAGUCUUGAGUUCGGGAGAGGUGAGUGGAAUUCCUAGUGUAGAGGUGAAAUUCGUAGAUAUUAGGAAGAACACCAGUGGCGAAGGCGGCUCACUGGCCCGAUACUGACGCUGAGGCGCGAAAGCGUGGGGAGCAAACAGGAUUAGAAACCCCAGUAGUCC